ACGUGCUGGCCCUGUCCACACAGACGUCGACUCCAGCAAAAAUGUCCUGACUGACUUCAGGAGAGAGGAAUUAUUGCUACGUGCCUCUUUCCCAGUGAAGAAAAUCUCUGUUGGCUGCGAGCAGAGAAGCGGCGGAAGGAUUCCCGACUCCGGGAAGCCAGGUGUCGGAAGGAGGAAGUACGCUUGAAGGGGGUCCGGCUGGCCGACUCUGCACUCGUCCGUUCGUGGCCCACCGUGGUGGUCACCAAAUUGAGGGCUUCCUGGAAGGACCUCCUCACGGUGCCCAUCCACUGGGUCAUGUGGGUCUGGGCCACUGUGAGUUUAUCUCCCAGGUAAUCCAUGGGGCCAGCCAGGAGGAGAGGGAAGAAGGAAGUUAGGGAGGGAGAGAGCAAUUAAAACGCCAGUGUCCUCUUGCCUCUUUGGACUCUUUUGCUCAUGGAAGUUUUGGGCUUGCUUGGAGGAAAAAAAAUUAAAAACAGCAGCUUUCUUCAGGCAAACCAAGGGUAAGUAAACAUCCCUGAGCCAGGAGCCGGCUGCAUCCACGGGUGCCGCUCAGAAUUAAGAGGCAGCUAAGUGCCAGGCUGGGAGUCCACCCCAGCGGAGUUAUAAAGUCAACACACUGGGCAGUCCAGGUUCCAGUUCCAGGGCUCACCCAGCUGAUCGGCCGAGACAAGGAGCUUUGAGGAACAAGCCGGCUGCACUCACUCCAGGGCGUGACGGUCCCGAAAGGCGGGGGAUGGGGAUGGGGGUGGGGGUGGAGGGGGCGGCCUUUGGGCACCCUCGUCCUCACUUCCCUUCAGGUAGGCAGCCCCCCUGAGGUGCACCCUGGGAGGUUCCGGUGGGCAAGCUGCCGCACCCUGCUGCCCCCUGCCCGGCUGCCCUCGGCCAGACCCCGCUCACCUGACCCAUGCAGGUUUUCUGUCCUCUGGCUGGAGAUUCCAAACCUGUCGGCCGGCAGGCGGCUAGCUCACUUCCGGAGGCAGCCACCAGGGCCCCCGGGUCCCCUGGCUGAGCAGCCCGGGAUGACAUCAGCCCCCGUCUUAGCGAGGGGCUUCGCUGCCCAGGAAUGCAGGAGGGGCCUCGGGGAGGCGGAGGCGGUGGCGGCGGCCGCCCAGGGAGCUGACGUCCGCCCCCAUUUUUUUCUCCCCCAAGUCCCAACUCGCUCACGGUCCCUCGGGGCUGAUGGCAACUUCACGUGCCUGCCAGCCUACCCACCCCUGUGCCCUCACAGCAAGCGCACCAGGAAAUGCGGCUGCACGUGUGUGCAUGUGUGUGCACUCUGUGUGUGUGUGCGUGUAUGUCGGCGAUCUGGCAGCCCCCUGUCUCUCCCUCCCUCUCUGGAAGGCAACACUGAUCCAGGAUCUCACUCUGUUGCCCAGGCUGGACUGCAGUGGCAUGAUCACAGCUCACUGCAGCCUUGGCCUCCCAGGCUCAAGCGAUCCUCCCACCUCAGCCUCCUCGGUAGCUAGGACUACAGGUGGAGCAACACCGUCAGUCAGAAGGCAGCGGAUGGCACAGGGCUUCCGCGUAAGGCCUGCAUCGCCUGAGUCAUGGUUUUCUCAUCUUGUAUGAGGCCCACCCCCUUCAAAAGGUUGUGACAAAAAAAACAACUGAGAUAAUUUGUGCCGCUGGCACAUAGUUAACACUCAAUAAGGCCGGGCGCAGUGGCUUACACCUCUAAUCCCAGCACUUUGGGAGGCUGAGGCAGGUGGAUCACUUGAGGCCAGGAGUUCGAUACCAGCCUGACCAACAUGGUGAAACCCCAUCUCAACUAAAAAUACAAAAAUUAGCCAGGCAUGGUGGUGUGCACCUGUAGUCCCAGCUACUUGGGAGCCUGAGGCAGGAGCAUCUCUUGAACCCGGGAGGUGGAGGUUGCAGUGAGCGGAGAUGGCACCACUGCACUCCAGCCUGGGCGACAGAACAAGACUCUGUCUCAAAACAACAACAACAACAAAAUAAUAAAUGGUGACCACAAGGGAUGAUCGUUUUUCUAUUAUAAUUCCUAUCAUCUCACUGUUCAAAUGAAUCACAGGACCCUAGACAGUCAGAAUCAAGACACCAGCAGGGACCAACCUAGGCCAACCUUCCCACUAAACUGAAGAAACAGGCCCAGACCGAGGGCUGCCCUAAGGCCUCACAGUCCAUCUGCAGCAGG
rnacentral:lncRNA from 1 species